AAUCAACGCUGGCGGCGCGCUUAACACAUGCAAGUCGGACGAGAAAGGGGAGCAAUCCCUGAGUAAAGUGGCGUACGGGUGAGUAACACGUGGGUAAUCUACCUUCUGGUGGGGAAUAACCCUGGGAAACCGGGGCUAAUACCGCAUAAGGCCCCAUUGAUUAGAUGGUGGCGAAAGGAGCAAUUCGCCGGAAGAGGAGCCCGCGGCUGAUUAGCUAGUUGGUGAGGUAAAGGCUCACCAAGGCAUUGAUCGGUAGCCGGCCUGAGAGGGCACACGGCCACACUGGCACUGAAACACGGGCCAGACUCCUACGGGAGGCAGCAGUGGGGAAUCUUGCACAAUGGGGGAAACCCUGAUGCAGCGACGCCGCGUGAGCGAUGAAGCCCUUCGGGGUGUAAAGCUCUUUCGGCAGGGACGAUAAUGACGGUACCUGAAGAAGAAGCUGCGGCUAACUACGUGCCAGCAGCCGCGGUAAUACGUAGGCAGCGAGCGUUGUUCGGAGUUACUGGGCGUAAAGAGUGCGUAGGCGGUUUUCUAAGUUUGGUGUGAAAUCUCCCGGCUUAACUGGGAGGGUGCGCCGAAAACUGGAAGGCUUGAGUAUGGGAGAGGUAAGCGGAAUUCCUGGUGUAGCGGUGAAAUGCGUAGAUAUCAGGAGGAACACCUGCGGUGUAGACGGCUUACUGGACCAUAACUGACGCUGAGGCACGAAAGCGUGGGUAGCAAACAGGAUUAGAUACCCUGGUAGUCCACGCCCUAAACGAUGCAUACUUGGUGUGGGUAGUUCAUUCUAUCCGUGCCGGAGCUAACGCGUUAAGUAUGCCGCCUGGGGAGUACGGUCGCAAGGCUG
rnacentral:rRNA from 1 species